AUUGAACGCUGGCGGCAUGCCUUACACAUGCAAGUCGAACGGCAGCGCGGGCAACCUGGCGGCGAGUGGCGAACGGGUGAGUAAUAUAUCGGAACGUACCCUGGAGUGGGGAGUAACGUAGCGAAGUUAACGCUAAUACCGCAUACGAUCUAAGGAUGAAAGUGGGGAUCGCAAGACCUCAUGCUCCUGGAGCGGCCGAUAUCUGAUUAGCUAGUUGGAGGUAAAGCCUACCAAGCAUCGAUCAGUAGCUGGUCUGAGAGGACGACCAGCCACACUGG
rnacentral:rRNA from 1 species